rnacentral:lncRNA from 1 species
AAGGUUCGAGAACCCUGAUGCAGUGAACGCAGGCGCAGGCUCUGGAGUGAGAAAUUGGGCCAGCGAAAGACACGCGCUCGACUUAGCAAGAUAGGGGCUAGACAAACCACGGUGAGGAAAACGGCACCUACAAGUCUUCCCAGACAGCUGUCUGCAGUUGAAAUUGAACGGCUUGCAGUAAACUUCUUGGAGGAGAAUUGGCAUUGCAAGGGUGUUACUGGAGACCUCGGCAAGAAAGUGAAUGCAAAGACAGAUGACCCAGGAACCCGUGAUGGAUAAGGCUCUUGACAGCCAGGACGUGGAAUUACAGGGGGUCUCUUUGAGAGACAAAAUAAAAAAAAUAGCCCAGUAAUCUUCCUUCCACCCUUUUCUCCCAGAUCUAAUUACAGAUGUCUUGACAUUCCUUCUGCAUAGAAUUUCCUUAAAAGAUUUGCCAAGAAGAAACAUUUGGAAACUGUGUUUUAGGUAUAAUCCGUCUGGGAGUCACUCUUGCUCGCUUUGUCGUUAGAUGACAAAACGCUUAAUUACAGCGAGCACAAUGUAUACCACAUUUGGAAAACUGGAUUCUUGACCUAAAUAAUGUACCCCAUACUGACAAUGGCCUUUUGGCAAAACUUGUGUCUCUGAUCUCACAUUAAUUACUACACAAAUAUACUUAUUGUGGGCACCGAGUUUAUGGGAUGGAGUCCUCUUGACACAUGUUCACCAUAAAAACACAUUUUUUUCCCUUCCCCUGACCCUAAGGAAAAGAAAAAAAAAAA